rnacentral:rRNA from 1 species
UACAGAGGGUGCGAGCGUUAAUCGGAAUUACUGGGCGUAAAGCGCACGUAGGUGGCGACGUAAGUCGGGUGUGAAAGCCCCGGGCUCAACCUGGGAAUUGCAUUCGAGACUGCAUUGCUGGAGUACGGAAGAGGAGGGCGGAAUUCCCGGUGUAGCGGUGAAAUGCGUAGAUAUCUGGAGGAACACCGGUGGCGAAGGCGGGUCUCUGGGCCGAUACUGACGCUGAGGAGCGAAAGCGUGGGGAGCGAACAGG